AGCGAACGCUGGCGGCAGGCCUAACACAUGCAAGUCGAACGAACUCUUCGGAGUUAGUGGCGGACGGGUGAGUAACACGUGGGAACGUGCCUUUUGGUUCGGAAUAACUCAGGGAAACUUGAGCUAAUACCGAAUGUGCCCUUCGGGGGAAAGAUUUAUCGCCAUUAGAGCGGCCCGCGUCUGAUUAGCUAGUUGGUGAGGUAACGGCUCACCAAGGCGACGAUCAGUAGCUGGUCUGAGAGGAUGACCAGCCACACUGGGACUGAGACACGGCCCAGACUCCUACGGGAGGCAGCAGUGGGGAAUCUUGCGCAAUGGGCGAAAGCCUGACGCAGCCAUGCCGCGUGAAUGAUGAAGGUCUUAGGAUUGUAAAAUUCUUUCACCGGGGACGAUAAUGACGGUACCCGGAGAAGAAGCCCCGGCUAACUUCGUG
rnacentral:rRNA from 1 species